rfam:Triticum aestivum genome assembly, contig: Triticum_aestivum_CS42_TGACv1_scaffold_576819_7BL
UUUGUACUCCCUCCGUCCCAAAAUUCUUAUCUUCAAUUUUUCUAAAUAUGGAUGUAUCUAGUUACAUUUUAGUGUUAGAUACAUCCGUAUCUAAACAAAUGUAAGACAAGAAUUUUGGGACGGAGGGAAUACUAC